rnacentral:tRNA from 1 species
GGGAUGCGGAACUGGCAGACGAGGCGGACUUAAAAUCCGCUGGACGCAAGUCCGUGAGGGUUCGAAUCCUCCUGGGCCCGCCA